rnacentral:rRNA from 1 species
CCUACGGGUGGCAGCAGUGGGGGAUAUUGCACAAUGGGGGAAACCCUGAUGCAGCGACGCCGCGUGGGUGAAGAAGUAUUUCGGUAUGUAAAGCCCUAUCAGCAGGGAAGAAAGAAGACGGUACCUGACUAAGAAGCCCCGGCUAACUACGUGCCAGCAGCCGCGGUAAUACGUAGGGGGCGAGCGUUAUCCGGAUUCACUGGGUGUAAAGGGAGCGUAGACGGCCGUGCAAGCCAGGAGUGAAAGCCCGGGGCCCAACCCCGGGACUGCGCUUGGAACUGUGCGGCUGGAGUGCGGGAGGGGCAGGCGGAAUGCCUGGUGUCGCGGUGAAAUGCGUAGAUAUCAGGAGGAACACCGGCGGCGAAGGCGGCCUGCUGGACCGCGACUGACGUUGAGGCUCGAAAGCGUGGGGAGCGAACAGGAUUAGAUACCCUAGUAGUC